rnacentral:rRNA from 1 species
ACGCUCGACACCUAGGAGGCAGCAGUGAGGAAUAUUGGUCAAUGGGCGCUAGCCUGAACCAGCCAAGUAGCGUGAAGGAUGAAGGCUCUAUGGGUCGUAAACUUCUUUUAUAUAAGAAUAAAGUGCAGUAUGUAUACUGUUUUGUAUGUAUUAUAUGAAUAAGGAUCGGCUAACUCCGUGCCAGCAGCCGCGGUAAUCUGAGCGGGCUGGCAAGGC